UGAACCAGUGAUGGUGAAUGGUGGUGGAUGAGUCAUGGGCAAUGAAUAUUAUGUGUCUGGAUGUCAAGGUCUAG